UACGUAGGGGGCAAGCGUUAUCCGGAUUUACUGGGUGUAAAGGGAGCGCAGACGGCAGUGCAAGUCUGGAGUGAAAGCCCGGGGCCCAACCCCGGGACUGCUCUGGAAACUGUACGGCUAGAGUACGGGAGGGGCAGGCGGAAUUCCUAGUGUAGCGGUGAAAUGCGUAGAUAUUAGGAGGAACACCAGUGGCGAAGGCGGCCUGCUGGACUGCAACUGACGUUGAGGCUCGAAGGCGUGGGGAGCAAACAGG
rnacentral:rRNA from 1 species